rnacentral:rRNA from 1 species
CCCGGUGAGGAUUGACAGAUUGAUAGCUUUUUCUUGAUUC